rnacentral:rRNA from 1 species
CUGGACGUCGACCGGCGCACGGGUGAGUAUCGCGUAUCCAACCUGCCCCUUACUUGGGGAUACCCCGUUGAAAGACGGCCUAAUACCCGAUGUGUUUCAUUGACGGCAUCCGAUAUGAAACAAAGGUUUUUCCGGUAAGGGAUGGGGAUGCGUCUGAUUAGCUKGUUGGCGGGGCAACGGCCCACCAAGGCRACRAUCAGUAGGGGUUCUGAGAGGAAGGYCCCCCACAUUGRAACUGARACACGGUCCAAACUCCUACGGRAGGCAGCAGUGAGGAAUAUUGGUCAAKGGACGCAAGUCUGAACCAGCCAAGUAGCGUGCAGGAUGACGGCCCUAUGGGUUGUAAACUGCUUUUUGUGGRAAUAAAGUGGCGCACGUGUGCGCCAUUGCAUGYCCUCAUGAAUAAGGACCGGCUAAUUCCGUGCCAGCAGCCGCGGUAAUACGGAAGGUCCGGGCGUUAUCCGGAUUUAUUGGGUUNAAAGGGAGUGUAGGCGGUCUGUUAAGCGUGUUGUGAAAUUUAGGUGCUCAACAUUUAACUUGCAGCGCGAACUGUCAGACUUGAGUACACGCAGCGCAGGCGGAAUUCAUGGUGUAGCGGUGANAUGCUUAGAUAUCAUGAGGAACUCCGAUCGCGAAGGCAGCCUGCGGGAGUGUUACUGACGCUUAAGCUCGAAGGUGCGGGUAUCGAACAGGAUUAGAUACCCUGGUAGUCCGCACAGUNAACGAUGGAUGCCCGCCGUUGGCGCCCUGCGCCUGCGNNCAAGCGAAAGCAUUAAGCAUCCCACCUGGGNAGUACGCCGGCAACSGUGAAACUCAAAGGAAUUGACGGGGGCCCGCACAAGCGGAGGAACAUGUGGUUUAAUUCGAUGAUACGCGAGGAACCUUACCCGGGCUUGAAUUGCAGUCGCUGCCCACAGAGACGUGGGCUUCCCUUCGGGGCGUCUGUGAAGGUGCUGCAUGGUUGUCGUCAGCUCGUGCCGUGAGGUGUCGGCUUAAGUGCCAUAACGAGCGCAACCCCCUUUCCCAGUUGCCAUCGGGUGAUGCCGGGCACUCUGGGGACACUGCCACCGCAAGGUGCGAGGAAGGUGGGGAUGACGUCAAAUCAGCACGGCCCUUACGUCCGGGGCUACACACGUGUUACAAUGGCCGGUACAGAGGGACGGUGUAAUGCAAGUUGCAUCCAAUCUUGAAAUCCGGUCCCAGUUCGGACUGGGGUCUGCAACCCGACCCCACGAAGCUGGAUUCGCUAGUAAUCGCGCAUCAGCCAUGGCGCGGUGAAUACGUUCCCGGGCCUUGUACACACCGCCCGUCAAGCCAUGAAAGCCGGGGGUGCCUGAAGUUCGUGACCGCGA